AUGCAAGCCCCGCCGCUCGCCGCGCUCGCCGGAGGCGCCUGGGCCUCCCAUCGACCUGCCAUAUUAGCGGCGCCGGCGAGCCUCCGCCGUCCUAGGCGCGGCGCCCUCCGGCUGCCCGCGUGGAGAGCGGCCGGAGGCGGCCGGGCCCCGCGGCUCCCGGCCAAGGGCGCCGUGCUCGCCUCCGACACGGGGGCGGACGAGGAGGUCGCCGGGCCAUCGCCCCUGCUCGACGUGCGCAGCGAGCAAGAGUUCGUUCUACGCGUCAGGAAGGAAGUGGAGAGAGGGAAGUUGCGUCCGGAUGUUGCUGACAACUUUGAAAACCUGUACUACAAUUACAAGAAUGCGGUCCUACAAAAUGGGGAUCCAAAUGCAUAUCAGAUCAUGCUUUCCAACAUGAUGGAUUUAUUUGACCGCGUUCUGCUGGAUGAAGAGAAUCCAUUUACGUUUCAGCCUUAUCACAAGGCCAUCAGAGAACCGUUUGACUAUUACACUUUCGGUCAGAACUACAUUAGGCCACUGGUAGAUUUUAGGAACUCUUAUGUCGGUAACAUUUCUGUAUUCAGUGAUAUGGAGAAGCAGCUUCGGCAGGGUCAUAAUAUUGUUCUGAUGUCUAAUCAUCAGACAGAAGCGGAUCCAGCAGUUAUUGCCUUGUCACUUGAAAGAAGCAAUCCGUGGAUUAGCGAGAACAUAGUUUAUGUUGCUGGGGAUAGGGUUCUUACAGAUCCUCUUUGCAAGCCAUUUAGCAUGGGAAGAAACCUCCUUUGUGUGUACUCAAAAAAGCAUAUGAAUGAUUUUCCUGAGCUAAUUGAGAUGAAGAGGAGGGCAAACACUCGAAGUCUCAAGGAAAUGGCUUUGCUUUUACGUGGGGGUUCACAUAUAAUUUGGAUAGCUCCAAGUGGCGGUAGAGACCGUCCUGACCCUUUGACUGGAGAAUGGCACCCGGCGCCAUUUGAUGCAUCUGCAGUGGAUAAUAUGAGGAGGCUUCUGGAGCAUUCUGGCGUUCCUGGACACAUAUAUCCAUUAUCAUUGCUAUGUUAUGAGAUUAUGCCUCCACCACAACAGAUUGAGAAAGAGAUUGGUGAGCAAAGGGUGAUAUCCUUCCAUGGUGUAGGCUUGUCAGUAGCUGAAGAAAUAAAGUAUGGGGAUGUUACUGCUCAAUCUCGGAAUGCUGAUGAGGCAAGGGGGAUAUUCUCAGAGGCUCUGUACAAUUCAGUUGUUGAUCAAUAUAAUGUCCUCAAGUCUGCUAUCUUUAGAGACCGUGGAGCAGUUUCGUCAAACCCUGCCAUCUCACUCUCGCAACCAUGGCGAUGA
rnacentral:rRNA from 1 species